GGGCCUGUAGCUCAAUGGCUAGAGCACUUGGCUGGCAGUCAAGGGGUUGGGGGUUCAAAUCCCCCCGGGUCCACAA
rnacentral:tRNA from 2 species